AGACAACAAAGCAGCUGCGCUUGUGACCCUGAGUACGAGAUAAACACCCAGGAGUCCACGCUGAUGCAGAUGAACGGCUGAGGAAGGUACGCCAUGGGCAGGGGACGUUGUGAGAGUGACUCCACAGUGGCGGGGCCUGACAGACACCACCUGGCUCAGGGGGAUCCAGAGGGCUGCCUCACAGCCGAACCACCGUUUCUGGAGGGCCGGGAGCUCUGAACACCUGCCCGGCAGCACAUCCCGGGGAGGAAGAGCUCCCCGCUGGCACAGCCCCGACGCCCACCCACAGGAACACGCGAGUGGCACGCCUCACGACGGGACGCUACAGGACAACGCCGGAAACCUGCUGCUACGCGCAGCCCCUCGGGUGGGUCUCACAGACCUAAUGGUGCGGAGGCAGAAGGCGGACGCAGAACACCGGGCUCCGAACGAUGCUGCCCACGCAGAAUGCAAGCACGGCAAACAGAACGUGGGACGUGCAUUCGAACCCCGACGCCUGCUCGGCCACAUUGGUGGACCUUGGGGACCUCAUGCUGAGUGAGAUGAGCUAGGCGCACAAGGACAUGUGAUCCCACAGACAGGAGGGCCCUAGGGCAGUCGGGGGUUCACACAGCUGGAGUAGAGGGGUGCUGCCAGGGGCUGGGGGAGGCGAACAGGGAGUCAGUGUCUAAUGGGGACAGAGUUUCACUUUUGCAAGAUCAAAGGGUUCUGGAUGGUGGUGACGGUUGCACAACAGUGUGAGUGUGCUUAAUGCCGCUGAACUGAACACUUACAAAUGGCUAAAACGGUAAAUUUUAUGUCAUGUGUAUCUUAUCGCAAUUUAAAAGCUGCAAGCACAGGCCGGGCGUGGUGGCUCAUGCCUGUAAUCCCAGCACUCUGGGAGGCCGAG